UACGGAGGUCCCGAGCGUUGUUCGGAUUCACUGGGCGUAAAGGGUGCGUAGGUGGUUAGGUAAGUCCGAUGUGAAAUCUCCAGGCUCAACCUGGAAAUGGCAUUGGAUACUAUUUAGCUUGAGGAGUGGAGGGGGGACUGGAAUUCUCGGUGUAGCAGUGAAAUGCGUAGAUAUCGAGAGGAACACCAGUGGCGAAGGCGAGUCCCUGGACACUUCCUGACACUGAGGCACGAAAGCUAGGGGAGCAAACAGG
rnacentral:rRNA from 1 species